UACGUAGGGUGCAAGCGUUUGUCCGGAAUUAUUGGGCGUAAAGAGCUCGUAGGCGGUUUGUCGCGUCUGCUGUGAAAACCUGGGGCUUAACCCUGGGCCUGCAGUGGGUACGGGCAGACUAGAGUGCGGUAGGGGAGACUGGAAUUCCUGGUGUAGCGGUGAAAUGCGCAGAUAUCAGGAGGAACACCGGUGGCGAAGGCGGGUCUCUGGGCCGUAACUGACGCUGAGGAGCGAAAGCAUGGGGAGCGAACAGG
rnacentral:rRNA from 1 species